rnacentral:ribozyme from 1 species
CUUUUCCAUUUUUUCUUUUUUCUUCUUUCUUCUUCUGCCUCCUCCUACAUUAUUUAUUUAAUAUACAUGAUAAUAAAAAUGUAG